GGAUAGAUAGCUCAGCUGGUUAGAGCAUGGUGCUGAUAAUGCCAAGGUUGCAAGUUCUAUCCC
rnacentral:tRNA from 1 species